rnacentral:rRNA from 1 species
AGUUUGAUCCUGGCUCAGGAUGAACGCUGGCGGCGUGCCUAACACAUGCAAGUCGAGCGAAGCGAUUUCGAGGAAGUUUUCGGAUGGAAUUGAGAUUGACUGAGCGGCGGACGGGUGAGUAACGCGUGGGCAACCUGCCUCAUACAGGGGGAUAACAGUUAGAAAUGACUGCUAAUACCGCAUAAGCGCACGGUUUCGCAUGAAACAGUGUGAAAAACUCCGGUGGUAUGAGAUGGACCCGCGUCUGAUUAGCUAGUUGGUGGGGUAAAGGCCUACCAAGGCGACGAUCAGUAGCCGACCUGAGAGGGUGACCGGCCACAUUGGGACUGAGACACGGCCCAAACUCCUACGGGAGGCAGCAGUGGGGAAUAUUGCACAAUGGGGGAAACCCUGAUGCAGCGACGCCGCGUGAGUGAAGAAGUAUUUCGGUAUGUAAAGCUCUAUCAGCAGGGAAGAAAAUGACGGUACCUGACUAAGAAGCCCCGGCUAACUACGUGCC